rnacentral:rRNA from 1 species
CCGCUUACUCGGGGAUAGCCUUUCGAAAGAAAGAUUAAUACCCGAUGGUAUAAAGAGUUCGCAUGUUCUCUUUAUUAAAGAAUUUCGGUAAGCGAUGGGGAUGCGUUCCAUUAGAUAGUUGGCGGGGUAACGGCCCACCAAGUCUACGAUGGAUAGGGGUUCUGAGAGGAAGGUCCCCCACAUUGGAACUGAGACACGGUCCAAACUCCUACGGGGGGCAGCAGUGAGGAAUAUUGGUCAAUGGACGGGAGUCUGAACCAGCCAAAAGUAGCGUGAAGGAUGACUGCCCUAUGGGUUGUAAACUUCUUUUAUAAGGGAAUAAAGUGAGGGACGUGUCCCUUUUUGUAUGUACCUUAUGAAUAAGGAUCGGCUAACUCCGUGCCAGCAGCCGC